rnacentral:rRNA from 1 species
UGAAUACGAGACGCUAAGGCGUUGAAGUAGUGUAUGUCAUACUUCCAAGAAAAGCUUGCACUGUCAUAGAUAAAAAACGCCUGUACCAUAACCGACACAGGUGGGUAGGUAGAGUAUACUAAGGGGCGCGAGAUAACUCUCUCUAAGGAACUCGGCAAAAUAACUCCGUAACUUCGGGAGAAGGAGUGCCUUAUUUAUAAGGCUGCAAUAACAAGAUCCAAGCAACUGUUUAUCAAAAACACAGGUCUCCGCUAAGUCGUAAGACGAUGUAUGGGGGCUGACGCCUGCCCAGUGCCAGAAGGUUAAAGAAGUUGGUUAGCAAUAGCGAAGCUGAUAACUGAAGCCCUGGUGAACGGCGGCCGUAACAAUAACGGUCCUAAGGUAGCGAAAUUCCUUGUCGGGUAAGUUCCGACCCGCACGAAAGGCGUAAUGAUUUGGAUACUGUCUCGGAGAGGGGCUCGGUGAAAUAGACUUGUCUGUGAAGAUGCGGACUACCUGCACCAGGACAGAAAGACCCUAUGAAGCUUUACUGUAACUUGAGAUUGAAAUUGGACUUUAUUCGCGCAGUAUAGGUGGGAGGCGUUGAUUGUAAUCUUGCGGGAUUAUUGGAGCCAUCAGUGAGAUACCACCCUUGUAAUGUUAGAUUUCUAACUUUGAAUCAUUAUCUGGUCAAAGAACAGUUUCAGGCGGGCAGUUUGACUGGGGCGGUCGCCUCCUAAACGGUAACGGAGGCGUACAAAGGUUUCCUCUGAACGGUUAGAAAUCGUAUCUAGAGUGUAAAGGCAUAAGGAAGCUUGACUGUGAGACCUACAAGUCGAGCAGGGACGAAAGUCGGUCUUAGUGAUCUGACGGUACUGAGUGGAAAGGCCGUCACUCAACGGAUAAGAGUUACUCUAGGAUAACAGGCUGAUCUCCCCCAAGAGUUCACAUCGACGGGGAGGUUUGGCACCUUGAUGUCGGCUCAUCGCAUCCUGGGGCGGUAGUACGUCCCAAGGGUUGGGCUGUUCGCCCAUGAAAGCGGUACGCGAGCUGGGUUCAGAACGUCGUGAGACAGUUCGGUCCAUAUCCGGUGUAGGCGUUAGAAUAUUGAGAGGAGCCUUCUUUAGUACGAGAGGACCGAGAAGGACAUACCUCUGGUGUACCAGUUAUCGUGCCAACGGUAAACGCUGGGUAGCUAUGUAUGGAGUGGAUAACCGCUGAAAGCAUCUAAGUGGGAAGCCCACCUCAAGAUAAGUA